GAGGUGGGAGGGGGUGGAGACCCAUAAAACUGCGAUUUAGAGAGCGUUCCUGCCAAAAUCUAAUUGUUUUUUCACCCAUCAUCCUUGUACCCGCCCACUGUACCUGCUCCCAUCAAUCGUGGCCGCGGAUUGCGGGCCCGGCGUGAUCCCGUUGAUUCCGUCCAUCCCCCACGCAGAACAACACUCAACCUUCUCCUCCACCCUCCCCUCCGCCCCGCGCGUCCUCGGGCCUCGCCGCCACCGUCGCUACGGGCUUCCCUCCUCCGCACGGCCUGCACUGGGCUGUCGUCCCCGGACCUCUCCAUCUAGCUCUCGCUGCUCGCAUUCCCACCCUCGCCGGCCAAUGGUGCCGCCACCAUCACCGGGCCACUCGUGGCCGCCUCCUUCGCCCGCGAGGCCACGACUGCGUCGAGGACCUGUACCCCGGGGCCACCGUCUACAGCCCCGAGCUACUCCGCCCGCACCAUCCGUGCCGGCCCUCCAAUCCACGCGCCACCUCCUCCUUCAUCCUCGGGCAAGGACGAGCCCCCCAUGCCAAAGAUGAGCGACGGGUCGACGCAUGGCCCAAUCCCUGGCCGGCAGGAGGAGCAGAUGGGCGGGGGCGGCGGGGACGAAGCUAGGGCUGGCGAAUUCACAUGUGCGGGAGUAAAUGAGAAAACAUGGAAUUGUGCAAGAGCUAGGAAGCAAUCUCAGGUUGAUAGUGGUGAAAAAGGGCAGCAGCCUCAAUCCAGGCGGCCAAGCGGCGACCCAGUCUCCAUCUCGCCUUGGGCCUCGCUGCCGUCUUUGCUCAGUCCCUGUCGAUUACGCUUCCUGUCUACUAUUUAUU